ACUCCUGCGGGAGGCAGCAGUAGGGAAUCUUCCACAAUGGGUGCAAACCUGAUGGAGCAAUGCCGCGUGAGUGAAGAAGGUCUUCGGAUCGUAAAGCUCUGUUGUUAGAGAAGAACACGUGCUAGGUAACUACUAGCGCCUUGACGGUAUCUAACCAGAAAGUCACGGCUAACUACGUGCCAGCAGCCGCGGUAAUACGUAGGUGACAAGCGUUGUCCGGAUUUAUUGGGCGUAAAGGGAGCGCAGGCGGUCUGUUUAGUCUAAUGUGAAAGCCCACGGCUUAACCGUGGAACGGCAUUGGAAACUGACAGACUUGAAUGUAGAAGAGGAAAAUGGAAUUCCAAGUGUAGCGGUGGAAUGCGUAGAUAUUUGGAGGAACACCAGUGGCGAAGGCGAUUUUCUGGUCUAACAUUGACGCUGAGGCUCGAAAGCGUGGGGAGCGAACAGGAUUAGAAACCCCAGUAGUCCC
rnacentral:rRNA from 1 species